CUACGGGCGGCUCCAGUGAGGAAUAUUGCACAAUGGGGGGAACCCUGAUGCAGCAACGCCGCGUGGAGGAUGACGCAUUUCGGUGUGUAAACUCCUUUUAUAUGUCAAGAAAAUGACGGUAGCAUAUGAAUAAGCACCGGCUAACUCCGUGCCAGCAGCCGCGGUAAUACGGAGGGUGCAAGCGUUACUCGGAAUCACUGGGCGUAAAGGACGCGUAGGCGGGUUGGAAAGUCAGGUGUGAAAUCCUACAGCUUAACUGUAGAACUGCACUUGAAACUUCUAAUCUAGAGUAUGGAGGGGGAGAUGGAAUUAGUGGUGUAGGGGUAAAAUCCGUAGAUAUCACUAGGAACACCUAAAGCGAAGGCGAUCUCCUGGAACAUUACUGACGCUAAGGCGUGAAAGCGUGGGGAGCAAACGGGAUUAGAUACCCCUGUAGUC
rnacentral:rRNA from 1 species